AAUAGAUACCCCGGUAGUCCAUGCCGUAAACGUUGGGAACUAGAUGUAGGGCCUGUUCCACGGGUUCUGUGUCGUAGCUAACGCAUUAAGUUCCCCGCCUGGGGAGUACGGCCGCAAGGCUAAAACUCAAAGGAAUUGACGGGGGCCCGCACAAGCGGCGGAGCAUGCGGAUUAAUUCGAUGCAACGCGAAGAACCUUACCAAGGCUUGACAUAUAGAAGAACACUGCAGAGAUGCAGGACUCUUUGGACACUUCUAUACAGGUGGUGCAUGGUUGUCGUCAGCUCGUGUCGUGAGAUGUUCGGUUAAGUCCGGCAACGAGCGCAACCCUCGUCCUAUGUUGCCAGCACGUGAUGGUGGGAACUCAUGGGAUACUGCCGUGGUCAACACGGAGGAAGGUGGGGAUGACGUCAAAUCAUCAUGCCCCUUAUGUCUUGGGCUUCACGCAUGCUACAAUGGCCGGUACAAAGGGCUGCGAUACCGUAAGGUGGAGCGAAUCCCAAAAAGCCGGUCUCAGUUCGGAUUGGGGU
rnacentral:rRNA from 1 species